AACGAACGCUGGCGGCAGGCCUAACACAUGCAAGUCGAGCGCGCCCUCGGGGGAUAGGCGCGCGGGUGUGUAUCGCGCGGGGAAACGCGCCCCUCUACUCAAUAGAACUGGCCAAAUGGGGUUAUUACAGCAGACGAUCUCUGCGGGCAAAAGAUUUAUCGUCGUUGGAUGGGCCCGCGUUGGAUUAGCUUGUUGGGGGGGUAAUAGCCUACCAAGGCGACGAUCCAUAGCUGGUGUGAGAGGAUGAUCAGCCACACUGGGACUGAGACACGGCCCAGACUCCUACGGGAGGCAGCAGUGGGGAAUCUUGGACAAUGGGGGCAGGCCUGAUCCAGCCAUGCCGCGUGAGUGAUGAAGGCCUUAGGGUUGUAAAGCUCUUUUAGCUGGGAAGAUAAUGACGGUACCGGGAGAAUAAGCCCCGGCUAACUCCGUG
rnacentral:rRNA from 1 species